CUAUUUUCUGCGUUUUUUACCGGGUUUUUCCCAUUUAUCGGGAAAAACUCCUAGGAAAAUUAAAAACAAUUUGCUCCGUAAAGUAUGCUCCCGUAAAUGGGAGCGAAAUUCAGAAUUCAAAAAUCCGUUUUUCCCAAUCACAAGAAUAUCGUUAUUGACGGGCGACUAAUGGGAGGAAUGGCACAGAAAAAAAAAACCAACGAAAUAAUAGUAAAUAAAAAUAUUCGCGCGGUGUGCGGCGGCGG